ensembl:lncRNA
CUCAGGAAGAGAUUUGAAUCAGUAGAUUGAGUAAAGAAGACCCACCCUCACCAACAUGGGUGGGCAUCAUCGAGUUUAUCGAGGGCCCAAAUAGAACAAAAAGGCAGAGGACAGGUGAAUUCUUUCUCUCUCCUCUUGACCUGGGAUAUCUAUCUCCUCCUGUCCUCAGAUACUGGAACUCCUGGUUCUUGGGCAUUUGGACUGGGACUGAAUUAUGCCACCAGCUUCCCUGGGUCGCCAGCUGGCAGACAGCAGAUCAUGGCAUACCUCUGCCUCCAUAAUCGCGUGAGCCAAUUCUCAUAAUAGAUCUCCUCAUAUAUAUCUCCUACUGGUUCUGCUUCUCUGGAGAACCUUGACUAAUAUAAAACCUUACUCUUGGGAACACUGGGCCUUCUGCCCUCAUUCUACACUCAGGGCUGACCUAGAUUCCCUCUUCAGCCAUUCCAGCGACAUUGCCCUCAACCUUCUGCCUUUUGUAACUGCAGCAUCAUCACUGAAGACCCCAAACACAGGUUCUAGGCCAACGAGUCUUCUUUGGUCCUAUGCCUGAGCAGGGGUAGAGGCCACUUGUGUCCCCUCAGCUUCCAGAAGCCCCUCAAGGUGCCUAAUAGUGUCCUCUACGUUGAUGCCAUCUUCUGUCCCCACAUGGAGCUUCAUGGGAACACCUACAAUCAGAAAAUGAUCUACUUUCCCAAAGCUAAAAACCAAAAGUUUCCCCCCUGAGACACUGUGCCUACUACUAAAGCUAUCAUGUAGGGUUUGUAAUAUACCAACUGGCUUAGCCUGGCUGCAGAAGUUGAGAACCCAAAAUAACACAUACCCACUGAAAAUCAGACCCCAGCCUAGCCUGGCUCCCUAUAAACAACAAACUAUUUGUGAGUAUCUCAAUUUGUUUUCUGUCAGAGUCCAACUGGGCUUUCUUCAUACAAUCUCUAGUUUAAAAGCUUUUCAUUUGAAUCCAGAGAGAAAAACAUGUGGUCAAGCUUUCGCUUGUGUAGCUACUGAAGUACUUGUCCCUGUCUACCUGCCUCUUCAGGUCCACGCUCCCUCUGUGACGUGUGGGCCCUGCUGGGUCCUGGGAAGAGCCAGGAAGAGAGCAUCCUUCACCACGCAGCCACGUCCUCCCUGCCUGAGUGCAGCCAGCUCCUUGGGGCUCCUACCAGGGAGAAGACCCCAGGUUUGCUUCUCCUCUGAGAGCCCACAAUCCUAAUUGGGUUUUGGAGUCUCCUCAAGGCUCCGACCAGAAAGAAGCCACAGGGUCCUUUAAUCCAGCAUCCACCAGAGCAGAAGUGGUUAUUGCUUCUCCUUCCAUCUCUUCUCCUAAUCCUUUGCUGAGGAAUCUAUCAAAUAUCAGGGUUCGGGAGUUGAGUGUACAGAGAGGAAAUUCCUACUCUACUCAAACUUCUGUUCUCAGACAUUUUGCCUAGUCUUUCCACACCCUGAAGAUCUAUACUUUGGAAGGCAACAGGCAGGAAGAGACUGAAGACGAUCUCCCCUGUCCGUCUGUCCCCUGAGCCAUGAAGACUGAAGUAUAUUCGAAAUACUUUCCCAUCAUCCUACUGUAUAGCAAAUGCCUACCGUGUGCCAGGACGCAUACUGGGCACUUGGCACAUCUCUUUCAUUUUCCACAACUGCCUACUCUGUCACCGCUGCACAGGCAAGGAAGCCAAGUCUCAGGGAAGGGCAGGGAGCUGCCCACUGUCACAGGACCACGCCUGGGCCUGUGUGCUCUCAGAUCCCUCCUUCAACCUUUCACUGUUCUGCUGCAUAUGGGGAAAGGAGGCUGCCUUUCCUGGCUCCCAUGUCAGCUGAUGGCCAGCUGGGCUUGGCUGAUGGGAGGCACCAAUGGGAGAUUGGAGGGCCGGGUGAGGAAGAAGCCAGGGAGCCUCUCGCCCUCCCUCUCUUUGCCUGGGAUGGCUUCUCUGGCAGCUCUGAACCUCUUCUGUGGCUCCAGCUCCCACAGGCAGGCCACUGUGGCUCUAGCUUCUGCAGCUCCCCACCCUGGACUGUGGUGAUGAGGGUGACCCACCAUCCAGGUUUGCCUGGGACUGAGAGUCUUGUAGGACAUAGUGCUUUCAGGGCUAAAUCAAAAAGUCCGGGCAAACCCAACAAUUGGUCACCCUAGUGGCCACACCACCUCCUCCAUCUGCCUCCCCAGCCUAGGUGGUAGUGCCUGCCUGAGGGCCAUCUCUGAGCCUCUAACUACGUCCUGGGUGGCUUCUCAGCCUCCAUCACCUCUUCAACCCAUUCCCUUCACUAAAUUCCUUCUGUUGUAGGGAAUGGUUCCUGCUUAGAACAGGCUUUUAUACUGCUAUUUCCUUCUUUUGCUCUUCAUAUUUAGGGGAAAUACACUGUAAGUCGGUUACAGUUACCCAGCUGGUAAACGACAAAGGUACUUUUACCAAAGCCUGUGCUCUUGUCACUGCAUUAUAUUCGAUCAGAGGAACUGCACUGUGGCUUCGGGGAAGAUGGCUCCCACACCUGCUGGCCCCACCUCCAUCAUUUCACCAUCAGCAAGUAUAAUUCGAUUUUACUUUUGCUCUGAAGGAUUAAGUCAUGGUAACAAAACUUACAAAUGAGUUAUUUUUAGCUCCAGCAAGUAAAACACAGCUUCUGUCUCCGCUGUUCUGAAGUGGAGUGAGAAGGAAAAAGGGGGAACUCUUUGCUCCACUGCCUUGUGAGCUCUGCUGAGACCAGAAGCUUCUGUUUCAAAGGGAACCACUGUUCCUUAUGGUAAUGGCAGAGGCCACCCCAGCUGGGAGCUCUGGUUAUAGAUUACGAGCACAUGUUUCUGCAUACCUCCCAUCUGACCUAUGAAAUGACCCCCACCGUGGAACACAUCUGUGUAAUUCACAUUGUGUGUGCAGUUAUUGCUAUAGUGACAAGCAACCAGGACUUUUGUUUUAAGUUCCUUUUUUCAAGGACAAAUGCGCAUUCUAUAUUUGAAAGGAAAAAACUCAUAAGGAAGAAAAACAAUCUUAGAUAUCCAGAUGUAACACAGGCUUGGCUACAAUGCAUCACAAGAUAGUGAUGUUGGACGUGUAUCAAUCAGUUCAAAUUAGGAUUUAUUGGUUGUGAACUCCACAUACUUCAAGGCCAAAGAAUGUCCCAAAGAGGCACGUUUCAGGUCAAUCUCCUUCUUAUUCAUAUUUAACUUUCUUGCAAAUGUUGAAACGUAGCACAGUUCAUGCUAAGCUACAAGCCACCAGGUUGAAUCCAAUAUUUUCUAACAGCAAGAGGUCUGAGGUGUCAAGUCCACAAUAGCCUGCCUCCAGAUUUUAUUUCAGGUAGAUGUGUCAUGGAACAGCCUGAACUCAGGAGAGUACAGCAAGAGAUUGCUUUAUUUUUUUCUCCAGUCACCGCCCCCGGAGCAGCUUUAGGAUGGCCCCUUUCCUCUCCCUUAAAGACACCUCAUGCAGGAGCCACAGCUUCCUCUCAUUUUCAGAUAUAAAAAGUCCAGUCUGGUUCAGUCGAUUCAAAACUUCAGUCCAACUUAAUGCUCAGCUGUUCCAGCCCCAGGGCCAGGCAGGCCACCACCUGAGGAUCCGAGUCAGGCGGGCACGUGGUCUGCCCCCACCCCGCCCCGACUUCCACUGUUUGCUCCUCUGGGCUUGGGAACGGUGUAAGCCUGGUCCCCCCCUGGUCGUGACAGGGAUCUCUACUGCACAGUUCUCUGACCUGAGAGAUCGGCCCUCACCUCGUGCUGCCCAGGCAGCUCACGUGUGGGGCCCUUGCUGCAGUAGUCUUGUCACCUGGUGACCUGUGACCUUGCACAGGCUAUCGGCAAGCCAGCCUCAGCCAGACUGCUUUCUAGAAUGUGUUCUGGACCCAUCUUUUCACGCCAGGCAGUGGGGGGCAGUUCUCACUGCCCUGUCAUCACUCCUGAUUCUUUUCUCCUGGUCCAGAAAGCAUGGAGGAUAGAUCAGCACACAGUGAAAUGCUGGCUCUGUGUCCCGUGGUGCCCAGUUCUGAGUGGUUUUUUUAGAGCACGCCUUCCUGUGGCUUAGGAGUGGAUGGUGGAAGGCUUCCUUUCCCAUAGCAGGGAGAAGCCGCUGCAUCCUGCUCCCCAGGCUGACAACUCCCUCAUCUGUGACUCUUCAAAUGUCUCUAGAUUUCUGUUUAAAUAAAGAGCUGGGCUGGCCUAGCAGUCCUGGUUUUGCUGCUGCUUAAGGGGUCAUGUCCUCUGCUCCUGAGCACUUAGUGUUUUCACUUUAGGACUUAAAAUGCGUUUCAAACAUAAUGAGAACAGGUCCAUUCAACAUCCUGUUAGAUAAACCAUGAAGCUUUGUGGUAUGCUUCUCCUCUUCUGGGUCAUAUGAUAGGUCCUAAUCAAUUAAAAGGAUCAUGAUGUGCAAACAGAUGCAAAUAAAUUUGGAAACCUUGAUGCAAUGGAUAAUUUUCUUGAAAUAUGUUAUUUGUCAAAAGUAACCACAUAAGAAACAAAAAAAUCUAAACACACUGAUUUAUGUAAAAGAAAUAGGAGAAGUUGGAAAACUGCUGCUCCCACGUAUACACUAGACUCAGAUGGUUUAACCAUGAGUCCAUAACAUUUCUUACUUGUGUGUUUUGUAUCCUCUCUUUUUUGCCUUGGUUGGUUUAGCCAAUUGUUUAUAUAAUUUAUUGUUUUCUUUUUUUCCCCCAAAGAAGCAGCUUUGCUUUUGUUUACUGGUCCUACUGUUUUGCUAUUUUCUAACUCAUCCAUCUUUGCUUUUGCUUUUAAUAAUUCCUUCCUCCUGGUUUAUUGAUCUUACUCUGCUUUGCUUGUGUUGACUCUUGCAGUCAGUGCUCCAUUUCUUGCUUUCUAUUCUUUCACUUGUAUUAAUGUAAAUAUACAAGCCAAUAAAUUUUCCUCUGAUCACUUAUUUAAAUAUAUUCUUUAGGUCUGAUAUACGUAUAAUGUUUUCAAGGUUAUUUUUCUG